rnacentral:ncRNA from 2 species
UAACCAUCCAGAGCGGCUGAGAGACCUGGCUCGUUGACGCCGCAGCAACCACCUCGUUUCGAGGAAGGUGCUAACGCCAGGACCGAUGGAGA